GAUGAAGAACGUAGCGAAAUGCGAUAAGUAAUGUGAAUUGCAGAAUUCAGUGAAUCAUCGAAUCUUUGAACGCACAUUGCGCCCGCCAGUAUUCUGGCGGGCAUGCCUGUUCGAGCGUCAUUUCAACCAUCAAGCCCCCGGCGUGUGUUGGGGACCUGCGGCUGCCGCAGGCCCUGAAAACCAGUGGCGGGCUCGCUAGUCACUCCGAGCGUAGUAAUACAUCUCGCUCAGGGCGUGCUGCGGGUUCCGGCCGUUAAAAAGCCUUAUUUACCCAAGGUUGACCUCGGAUCAGGUAGGAAGACCCGCUGAACUUAAGCAUAUCAAUAAGCGGAGGA
rnacentral:misc_RNA from 1 species